AGUGAACGCUGGCGGUAGGCCUAACACAUGCAAGUCGAACGGCAGCACAGUAAGAGCUUGCUCUUACGGGUGGCGAGUGGCGGACGGGUGAGGAAUACAUCGGAAUCUACUUUUUCGUGGGGGAUAACGCAGGGAAACUUACGCUAAUACCGCAUACGACCUACGGGUGAAAGCAGGGGAUCUUCGGACCUUGCGCGAUUGAAUGAGCCGAUGUCGGAUUAGCUAGUUGGCGGGGUAAAGGCCCACCAAGGCGACGAUCCGUAGCUGGUCUGAGAGGAUGAUCAGCCACACUGGAACUGAGACACGGUCCAGUCUCCUACGGGAGGCAGCAGUGGGGAAUAUUGGACAAUGGGCGCAAGCCUGAUCCAGCCAUACCGCGUGGGUGAAGAAGGCCUUCGGGUUGUAAAGCCCUUUUGUUGGGAAAGAAAAGCAGCAGGUUAAUACCCCGCUGUUCUGACGGUACCCAAAGAAUAAGCACCGGCUAACUUCGUG
rnacentral:rRNA from 1 species